GGCGAGGCUCCCGGCGGCCCCUGAGAGGCGGGCCCUCUGCCCGUCCAGGGCGGCCACCAGCUUCCGGAGCGAGGCGUCCGAGAACUCAUGGAAAAAGCGCCGGAAGCUGGGGUGCUGCCGGAUCUGCGAGGGAGGCCGAGAAGCGGAAACGGAGGCUCAGAGAGGCCAAGGGACGUGACCAAGGACACUCAGAAGGGGAGGACGGAACCCAGGUCUCAGAGGCUGCACUCUAAAAAGCACGUGGACGGGCCCAUGGCUCCCACUCAGCAGCCACCCCCCCUUUAAAUGUGCAAGACUUGGCCCUGUCAGUCUGAACGCCACCUUCCCCUGUUGUCAAAUGGAAC